rnacentral:rRNA from 1 species
CCUACGGGAGGCUGCAGUGAGGAAUAUUGGUCACUGGGCGCGAGCCUGAACCCGCCAAGUCGCGUGAGGGAAGACGGUCCUAUGGAUUGUAAACCUCUUUUGUCGUGGAGCAAAAGACUCCACUCGUGGCGUUCCGAGAGUACCCGCAGAAACAGCAUCUGCUCACUCCGUGCCAGCAGCCGCGGUACUACGGAGGAUUCGAGCGUUAUCCUGAUUUCUUGGGUUUAAAGGGUGAGCAGGCGGAAGAUCAAGUCAGAGGUAAAAUUGAGAGGCUCAACCUCUUCGAGCCUUUGAAACUGGUUUUCUUGAGUGAGUGAGAAGUAUGCGGAAUGCGGGGGGUAGAGGGGAAAUGCAUAGAUAGCACGCAGAACUCCGAUUGCGAAGGCAGCAGACCGGCGCUCAACUGACGCUCAUGAACGAAAGUGUGGGUAUCGAACAGGAUUAGAUACCCGGGUAGUC